ACAGCACGCUGUUAGAGCUCUGAGGUCCAGCCAAUGAACUCUAGAGUGUCGGAAGCGUGCAACAGUAACAUGACAAGAUUUUCGCUAACGCCGCCAGAGCUUUCUGCUCAAUGAUCGGAGUUUGAUAGUGAUCUGUGUCACAUUU